rnacentral:rRNA from 1 species
UACGUAGGGGGCAAGCGUUGUCCGGAAUCAUUGGGCGUAAAGCGCGCGUAGGCGGCCCGGUAAGUCCGUUGUGAAAGUCAAAGGCUCAACCUUUGAAAGCCGAUGGAUACUGCAGGGCUAGAGUCCGGAAGAGGCGAGUGGAAUUCCUGGUGUAGCGGUGGAAUGCGCAGAUAUCAGGAGGAACACCAAUAGCGAAGGCAGCUCGCUGGGACGGUACUGACGCUGAGGCACGAAAGCGUGGGGAGCAAACAGG